CCGCGGUAUUUUGACCGUGCUAAGGUAGCAUAAUCAUUAGUUUUUUAAUUGAAAGCUGGAAUGAAGGGUUGGAUGAAAAAAAAACUGUCUCUAUUAAAUAGGUAGAAUUUUAUUUUUAAGUUAAAAAGCUUAAAUUUAGUUAAAAGACGAGAAGACCCUAUAGAGUUUUAUAAAAAGUAUUAUUUUUAUAUUUAGUAUUAAAUUUAAAUUUAUAAUAAAUUUAUUUAAUUGGGGUGAUUAAAAAAUUAAAGUAACUUUUUUUGUAUUUUUAUACAUUAAGUAAGUAUUUGAUCCAGUAAUAUUGAUUAUAAGAAAAAAUUACCUUAGGGAUAACAGCGUAAUUUUAUUGGAGAGUU
rnacentral:rRNA from 2 species